rnacentral:rRNA from 1 species
GGAAUAUUGGACAAUGGGCGCAAGCCUGAUCCAGCCAUGCCGCGUGGGUGAUGAAGGCCCUAGGGUUGUCAAGCCCUUUCGGCGGGGACGAUAAUGCCGGUACCCGCAGAAGAAGCCCCGGCUAACUUCGUGCCAGCAGCCGCGUUAAUACGAAGGGGGCUAGCGUUGCUCGGAAUCACUGGGCGUAAAGCGCACGUAGGCGGCUUCUUAAGUCGGUGGUGAAAUCCUGGAGCUCAACUCCAGAACUGCCUUCGAUACUGAGAGGCUCGAGUCCGGGAGAGGUGAGUGGAACUGCGAGUGUAGAGGUGAAAUUCGUAGAUAUUCGCAAGAACACCAGUGGCGAAGGCGGCUCACUGGCCCGGUACUGACGCUGAGGUGCGAAAGCGUGGGGAGCAAAC